CUUCCCUGUCAUUCACUGUCACUUCCCAUUCCUUCUUUUCUCUAAAGAACAAAAAAGAAAAGAGCCAAAAAAGAACAGAGCCUUGCUUAGUUAGCAAACAGUUAACAACAAUCUAGAGAGAGAGAGAGAGAGAUGGAGCCACCAGCAACAAUGACCAUAGACAGGGAUUACCACGUAGAAGAAGAUGAACAGGAAAAAGCUGUCAACGAAUGCUGUUCCUGCUGUUAUGAUUGCUCAGAGAGCUGCUUUGAUUACCUUUGCUGUUUCAACCUCUGCUAAGUGUUAUCGACUUCAUCUAAAAUAUUAUUUCUUUCCUUCCUUCCUUCAUUAGUCCCAUCGUUACAAUUAACUGCCAUGGCAUGCACAAACUCGACGCUGAUUGGGAAAAUCUUGUCAUUUAAUUAGCAAGAAAACAUGGAUGAUUUCUCUUUGUUUUUCUU